GACGAACGCUGGCGGCGUGCCUAAUACAUGCAAGUAGAACGCUGAAGGAGGAGCUUGCUUCUCCGGAUGAGUUGCGAACGGGUGAGUAACGCGUAGGUAACCUGCCUGGUAGCGGGGGAUAACUAUUGGAAACGAUAGCUAAUACCGCAUAAGAGUAGAUGUCGCAUGACAUUUGCUUAAAAGGUGCAACUGCACCACUACCAGAUGGACCUGCGUUGUAUUAGCUAGUUGGUGAGGUAACGGCUCACCAAGGCAACGAUACAUAGCCGACCUGAGAGGGUGGUCGGCCACACUGGGAAUGAGACACGGCCCAGACUCCUACGGGAGGCAGCAGUAGGGAAUCUUCGGCAAUGGAAGGAAGUCUGACCGAGCAACGCCGCGUGAGUGAAGAAGGUUUUCGGAUCGUAAAGCUCUGUUGUAAGAGAAGAACGAGUGUGAGAGUGGAAAGUUCACACUGUGACGGUAUCUUACCAGAAAGGGACGGCUAACUACGUG
rnacentral:rRNA from 1 species